rnacentral:misc_RNA from 1 species
UUUCCGUUGGUGAACCAGCGGAAGGAUCAUUACAGAGAUCGUGCCCUUCGGGGUAGACCUCCCACCCUGUGUUAUUUACGUAUGUUGCUUUGGCGGGCCGCCUCCGGGCUCUCGGCUUUGGCCGAGGUGUGCCCGCCAGAGAACCCACAACCCUGUGUUUAGUGUCGUCUGAGUAUUAUCAAAUAAGUUAAAACUUUCAACAACGGAUCUCUUGGUUCUGGCAUCGGUGAAGAACGCAGC